UUCAAAUCCAGCCCGCGUCCCACUGCGUUCGCCUUUGAUUACAUUUCUCCCCGGGGGCGUGCGCCCAACCGGCCCACCAUCUCCUCGGAAAGAGCAAUUUUGGAGCUCGUUCACCAUGGAUUCGGAGCUCAUGGACCAGGGAUGUGGAUUCAGAGCUCAUGGACCAGGGACGUGGAUUCAGAGCUCAUGGACCAUGGACGUGGAUUCAGAGUCAUGGACCAUGGACGUGGAUUCAGACUCAUGGAUCAUGGACGUGGAUUCAGAGCUCAUGGAUCGUGGACGUGGAUUCAGAGCUCAUGGACCAGGGACGUGGAUUCAGAGUCAUGGAUCAUGGACGUGGAUUCAGAGUCAUGGACCAUGGACGUGGAUUCAGAGUCAUGGACCAGGGACGUGGAUUCAGAGUCAUGGAUCGUGGACGUGGAUUCAGAGCUCGUGGAUCAUGGACGUGGAUUCAGAGUCAUGGAUCAUGGACGUGGAUUCAGAGCUCAUGGACCAGGGACGUGGAUUCAGAGUCAUGGAUCGUGGACGUGGAUUCAGAGCUCGUGGAUCAUGGACGUGGAUUCAGAGCUCAUGGAUCGUGGACGUGGAUUCAGAGCUCAUGGACCCGGGACGUGGAUUCAGAGCUCAUGGAUCGUGGACGUGGAUUCAGAGCUCAUGGAUCGUGGACGUGUAUUCAGAGCUCAUGGAUUGUGGACGUGGAUUCAGAGUCAUGGACCAUGGACGUGGAUUCAGACUCAUGGAUCAUGGACGUGGAUUCAGAGCUCAUGGAUCGUGGACGUGGAUUCAGAGCUCGUGGAUCAUGGACGUGUAUUCAGAGCUCAUGGAUUGUGGACGUGGAUUCAGAGCUCAUGGAUUGUGGACGUGGAUUCAGACUCAUGGACCGUGGACGUGGAUUCAGAGUCAUGGACCAUGGACGUGGAUUCAGAGUCAUGGACCAUGGACGUGGAUUCAGACUCAUGGAUCAUGGACGUGGAUUCAGAGCUCAUGGAUCGUGGACGUGGAUUCAGAGCUCAUGGACCAGGGACGUGGAUUCAGAGUCAUGGACCAUGGACGUGGAUUCAGAGUCAUGGACCAUGGACGUGGAUUCAGACUCAUGGAUCAUGGACGUGGAUUCAGAGCUCAUGGAUCGUGGACGUGGAUUCAGAGCUCAUGGACCAGGGACGUGGAUUCAGAGUCAUGGAUCAUGGACGUGGAUUCAGAGUCAUGGACCAUGGACGUGGAUUCAGACUCAUGGAUCAUGGACGUGGAUUCAGAGCUCAUGGAUCGUGGACGUGGAUUCAGAGCUCAUGGACCAGGGACGUGGAUUCAGAGUCAUGGAUCAUGGACGUGGAUUCAGAGUCAUGGACCAUGGACGUGGAUUCAGAGCUCAUGGAUCGUGGACGUGGAUUCAGAGUCAUGGAUCGUGGACGUGGAUUCAGAGCUCAUGGACCGUGGACGUGGAUUCAGAGCUCAUGGAUCGUGGACGUGGAUUCAGACUCAUGGAUCGUGGACGUGGAUUCAGAGCUCAUGGACCAGGGACGUGGAUUCAGAGUCAUGGAGCAGGGACGUGGAUUCAGAGUCAUGGACCAGGGACGUGGAUUCAGAGCUCAUGGAUCGUGGACGUGGAUUCAGAGUCAUGGAUCAUGGAUGUGGAUUCAGAGUCAUGGAUCGGGGACGUGGAUUCAGAGCUCGUGGAUCAUGGACGUGGAUUCAGAGCUCGUGGAUCGUGGACGUGGAUUCAGAGCUCAUGGACCCGGGACGUGGAUUCAGAGCUCAUGGAUCGUGGACGUGGAUUCAGAGCUCAUGGAUCAUGGACGUGUAUUCAGAGCUCAUGGAUCGUGGACGUGGAUUCAGAGCUCAUGGAUCGUGGACGUGGAUUCAGACUCAUGGACCAUGGACGUGGAUUCAGAGCUCAUGGACCAUGGACGUGGAUUCAGAGCUCGUGGAUCAUGGACGUGGAUUCAGAGCUCAUGGAUUGUGGACGUGGAUUCAGAGCUCAUGGACCCGGGACGUGGAUUCAGAGCUCAUGGAUCGUGGACGUGGAUUCAGAGCUCAUGGAUCAUGGACGUGUAUUCAGAGCUCAUGGAUCGUGGACGUGGAUUCAGAGCUCAUGGAUCGUGGACGUGGAUUCAGAGCUCAUGGACCAUGGACGUGGAUUCAGAGCUCAUGGAUCAUGGACGUGGAUUCAGAGUCAUGGACCAUGGACGUGGAUUCAGAGCUCAUGGAUCAUGGACGUGGAUUCAGAGUCAUGGAUCAUGGACGUGGAUUCAGAGUCAUGGACCAUGGACGUGGAUUCAGAGCUCAUGGAUCGGGGACGUGGAUUCAGAGUCAUGGAUCAUGGACGUGGAUUCAGAGUCAUGGACCAUGGACGUGGAUUCAGAGUCAUGGACCAUGGACGUGUAUUCAGAGCUCAUGGACCAUGGACGUGGAUUCAGAGUCAUGGACCAUGGACGUGGAUUCAGAGUCAUGGACCAUGGACGUGUAUUCAGAGCUCAUGGACCGUGGACGUGGAUUCAGAGCUCAUGGAUCGGGGACGUGGAUUCAGAGCUCAUGGAUCAUGGACGUGGAUUCAGAGCUCAUGGACCGUGGACGUGGAUUCAGAGCUCGCGGACCAGGGGAGUGAGUCAGAAGGAUUCCCUGGUGGUGUUUCGGGCCGUGCCUGGCACAAGGACAUGCCAUAGGGAUUUCCGCUGCUCCCGCUGAAGCCCCUUCUGCCAUUACUACCCCGAGUUCUAGCUUCUAGGGAUUCAGGCAAAAUGUGGUGUUUCCUUCCUCUUCGUGCUUUUUUGAUCACCUAGAACAUGGCGCCCUUCAAAUCUAGAGCUUGGUGUUGGGACACACAGUCAUCAGCUGAGGGUGCUGUAACACAGUCCCACCGACGGGGUGCUUAAGCCACAGACAUCUGGUUCUGGAGGCCGGACGUCCAGGAUCAAGGUGUCAGCAUGGUCUUCUUGGCUGGCAGAUGGCCGCCAUCUUGGUCUGUCUCCAUGUGGUGGAGAUAGAGACAGAGAGAGAACUCCAUGGAAACAAUUCACCAAGGCAGACCCUGGGCUUCGGGAUCCAAACCCCUCAUUUCACCUCCGUCCCCUCCUUCAAGGCCCAUCUCCAAAGGCAGCCCCGUCCUGAGGUCCUGGGGGGGUCUCAGCACCCCAACCUGUGAAUUGAGGGGGACACACUCAUCCUGUGUCAGGCGUUGUGCAUUCUAAUUAUGAUGUGGAUUCAAACCCACUCUCCCCUCCGCGUAGCCCAGCCUUUUCUGAGUCGUUUCUGG
rnacentral:lncRNA from 1 species